GUUGAGUCAGCCAAUGCAAUGCUUCCCAAUAAUUUAUUUACUCUGAAGAAAAGAAAGUGACCUGCAGCCAACUGAAUAAUGCAGGCUCUGUUCAUUAACCAAACACUUUUAUAGCAGGUUAGUUAUUCAGUAAACCUACAUCUAAUUAAUGAUCAUAUGAUGUGCUCCCUGUAUUAUCAACUUAUUGAGUGAAGUACAAAUCUUUGAUGAGGCUGUUCCAUAACAAAAGGAUAAGGUCGGCAAUAUAUGCAAUGGGGGUAGGGCAAAAACAGCCAGGAGAUAAGCACAGUUCAAAAAUAAGGACGAAGACAGUGAAGAUGAAGAAGCUACAAUGUGAAAGAAACAUUCUGCUUUAAAAAAGAAAGGACGACAAAGAGUUCGGACCACAUUCACUAAUCAACAGCUUGAGGAGUUAGAGAAGAUCUUCCAGAUAAACCAUUACCCAGAUAUUCAUACCCGAGACCAGCUGGCAUUCAAGACACAGUUAUCUGAAGAGAGGGUGCAGAUAUGGUUUCAAAAUCGACGUGCCAAAUGGAGAAAAUGCGAGAAACUGAAAAAUAUUAGUGUGCUACAGCAUGCCAAGUCUUGGGAUGUAUUUUCAUCACCACACACUAGUUACCUGGACGUCUCUUUCUGCCCCAAGUAUACCUCUGGGCUUUAUCACCCUACAUAUGCAUCAUUAUCAUUGCACCUUCCCCUUUAUCUCCACGGAUGCGGCAGUGGACAUGUUGAUAAGUUGUAUUCUCAUACUCUCUGCAGUUGUCUGCUUCAUGGAUCUUUACAAUCUUCUCCUAAUAUUGUUCUUGGCCAAAAGGAGAACUUUUUCAUUUAAUAUACUGUACUACAUUUGGAUCAGAUUGUCUUUCUGCCUCAGUAAAAGUGGUCAAAAACUUCAACCUUCCCCUUCAUAUACUGAAAAAUAAGUCAGGUUUCCAUAUUGAAUAUAUCAGAGGAAAACAAUUAAUUUGUAUUACCUGGUUUGAAUACACAUUUUCACUGUUCAUUUCCAUUUACUUUAUUCCUAUACAUAACUUUUUUAGAGGACCGGCUGAGAGAACCAUUCAGCUUUACAAAUAUGAAAGACUGGUAAUAAAAUACAAAACAUCAUUCAACAUUUAUCUGUCCUAUCCAUUUACUAAGCCUGAGUAAUCCAUCUCAGGGUCACAGGAAGC